GAGUGUAAGUGCACAAGGGAGCUUGACUGUGAGACCGACGGGUCGAGCAGGGACGAAAGUCGGGACUAGUGAUCCGGCGGUGGCUUGUGGAAGCGCCGUCGCUCAACGGAUAAAAGGUACCCCGGGGAUAACAGGCUGAUCUUCCCCAAGAGUCCAUAUCGACGGGAUGGUUUGGCACCUCGAUGUCGGCUCGUCGCAUCCUGGGGCUGGAGUCGGUCCCAAGGGUUGGGCUGUUCGCCCAUUAAAGCGGUACGCGAGCUGGGUUUAGAACGUCGUGAGACAGUUCGGUCCCUAUCCGCUGUGCGCGUAGGAGUCUUGAGAAGGGCUGUCCCUAGUACGAGAGGACCGGGACGGACGAACCUCUGGUGUGCCAGUUGUUCUGCCAAGGGCAUGGCUGGUUGGCUACGUUCGGGAGGGAUAACCGCUGAAAGCAUCUAAGCGGGAAGCCUGCUUCGAGAUGAGGACUCCCACCCCCUUGAGGGGUUAAGGCUCCCAGUAGACGACUGGGUUGAUAGGCCGGAUCUGGAAGCACCGUGAGGUGUGGAGGUGACCGGUACUAAUAGGCCGAGGGCUUGUCCUCAGUUG
rnacentral:rRNA from 1 species